AACUGAUACUACCUGCGGGAACCUGCGGAAGGAUCAUUACCGAGUGCGGGCCCUCUGGGUCCAACCUCCCAUCCGUGUCUCUUGUACCCUGUUGCUUCGGCGGGCCCGCCUUCAUGGCCGCCGGGGGGCUUCUGCCCCCGGGCCCGCGCCCGCCGGAGACUCCAACAUUGAACACUGUCUGAAGGUUGCAGUCUGAGUUUUCAUAUAAGAAAAAUCGUUAAAACUUUUAGCAAUGGAUCU
rnacentral:misc_RNA from 1 species